rnacentral:rRNA from 1 species
AAGAGUUUGAUUCCUGGCUCAGAUUGAACGCUGGGGGCAUGCCUUACACAUGCAGUCGAACGGCAGCACGGGUGCUUGCACCUGGUGGCGAGUGGCGAACGGGUGAGUAAUACAUCGGAACAUGUCCUGUAGUGGGGGAUAGCCCGGCGAAAGCCGGAUUAAUACCGCAUACGAUCUACGGAUGAAAGCGGGGGACCUUCGGGCCUCGCGCUAUAGGGUUGGCCGAUGGCUGAUUAGCUAGUUGGUGGGGUAAAGGCCCACCAAGGCGACGAUCAGUAGCUGGUCUGAGAGGACGACCAGCCACACUGGGACUGAGACACGGCCCAGACUCCUACGGGAGGCAGCAGUGGGGAAUUUUGGACAAUGGGCGAAAGCCUGAUCCAGCAAUGCCGCGUGUGUGAAGAAGGCCUUCGGGUUGUAAAGCACUUUUGUCCGGAAAGAAAUCCUGAGGGCUAAUAUCCUUCGGGGAUGACGGUACCGGAAGAAUAAGCACCGGCUAACUACGUGCCAGCAGCCGCGGUAAUACGUAGGGUGCGAGCGUUAAUCGGAAUUACUGGGCGUAAAGCGUGCGCAGGCGGUUUGUUAAGACCGAUGUGAAAUCCCCGGGCUCAACCUGGGAACUGCAUUGGUGACUGGCAAGCUAGAGUAUGGCAGAGGGGGGUAGAAUUCCACGUGUAGCAGUGAAAUGCGUAGAGAUGUGGAGGAAUACCGAUGGCGAAGGCAGCCCCCUGGGCCAAUACUGACGCUCAUGCACGAAAGCGUGGGGAGCAAACAGGAUUAGAUACCCUGGUAGUCCACGCCCUAAACGAUGUCAACUAGUUGUUGGGGAUUCAUUUCCUUAGUAACUAGCUAACGCGGAAGUUGACCGCCUGGGGAGUACGGUCGCAAGAUUAAAACUCAAAGGGAAUUGACGGGGACCCGCACAAGCGGUGGAUGAUGUGGAUUAAUUCGAUGCAACGCGAAAAACCUUACCUACCCUUGACAUGGUCGGAACCCUUGGAGGAGGAUCUGAGGGUUGCUCGAAAGGAGAACCGGAUACACAGGGUGCUGGCAAUGGCUGUCGUCAGCUCGUGUCGUGAAGAUGAUGGGGUUUAAGUCCCGCGACGAAGCGCAGCCCAUUGGUCCGUAAGUUGCCUACGGCCAAGGAAGGCAACGUCUUGGGGAAGAAA